CACACAGGUAGACACACAGGUAGACACACAGGUAGACACACAGGUAGACACACAGGUGAGCACACAGGUAGACACACAGGUGAGCACACAGGUAGACACACAGGUAGACACACAGGUGAGCACACAGGUAGACACACAGGUAGACACACAGGUAGACACACAGGUGAGCUCCACAGGGCCCGCAGUGGAAAAGACACUGGCUUAAAUGAGUAUACUAGAAGCUAGAUGGCUAGUUAGCUGCUGAAGCUACACGAGUGGUAAGCUGUUAGUUGCUGUGAGGACGGACUCAUCAGUAGCUGAUUUUAACUGCCUGGCUUCUUCUGCACGCUCACAUUUGCUUUGCAGCAUCGACCAGAAAGAAGGCUCCCCGUGUCUUCGGCCAUGGCCUCCGAUAGCCCCUCCUCCCAAGCAGCUUCCACCUACCUGACCGCGCACACCAACGAGAUGGUGGAGCUGCAGCACCUGAACGGCCGCUUAACCAGCUACAUCGAGAGGUUGCACUUCCUGGAGCAGCAGAACCAGACGCUGGCGGCGGAGGUGAAGCGGCUGCGAGGCCGUAAGCUCACGCGCUUUGAAAGGUAUGAGAGCCAGGUGGGAGGAGCCAGGUGGGAGGGGCCAGGGGGCGUGUGUGUGUGAUGGACAGAAGAUUUCUGUGUAUUGUUGUGUGUUUGAGUGAAAGAGAAAACAACAUUUGUGUGAGUUUUUCAGCAGCUGAGAGGGAAACUGUGAAAGUGACUUUAGAGAAGAAGUCAGGCUGAAGAAGAAAGAUCUGCCGAUUUAAUCAUGAAGAUGACGUGAUGAUGAUGACGAUGAUGGACGUCCGUCAUCUGGUUGUUCUGGUGACAGGAAGUGUCCUUAAAAAGGAUUCUUAUUUGUAGACUUUAACAUGACCAAAGUUGAAUUAGGAGUAUUUCCAUUUUUGGUUUUCGUUUAACAGCUUUGAGGAAAAAGUAAGUUCAAUAUCCAGCAAUUCCACAGUAUCAGAGGAACAAUCUUUUCAUUGAGUAAAAGUGACCGUCAGUACAACGUACAUUAAUAUUAGAGAGGUAGUACUAUGCAGCAUGUUAUAUUUUCAUACUGGAAUAUGUUUGUUGGUGUGAUCAAAAAAGCUUCUCAGAUGAACCCGACGUUGAUGUCGAUGAUGUCGUUGUCUCACCUGCUCCUCCAGGCUCAUGGAGCAGACUCCCCAGAAGGAGGACGUGGAGAGCAACCUGGCUGCUUCCGGGGGGGUGACGCCUGUGUAGCGUGUCUCCACCCACAGCUUCUCCACAACGCAGAAGAAGCUCCUCCUGACGUUUCUCGUAUGUCUUCCUUCAUGUGCAGAGCUGCUGACCGUUAAAAGCAAUGUGGACGCCUCUGACCCGUUUGUCUUACUAUGCUAAAAAUCACAGCUCAACAUUGUUAAGGAACAACAAGGCAGCUCGCUGAGGUAGAGUGAAGAAAAGAGGAUGUCUUCAGAGAUACAGAACAGCGGAGCGAAGUGAAUGACCAGCGAGAGAAGAGGCCUAAGGGGCACGUGUGAGGGAGUAACGCUGUACAUCAGUAACAACGUUGUAUCUUUACCGUGAAGGACAUGAGUGAGUCUCUGUACCUGCAACAUCUGCUCCACCGUCAGCUUCAUCAACGGGUCGACAUCAUGUGAGGAGGAGCAGAGAGAAGAAGAGACGACGAGGGACAAGAACAUAGAGACUCUUCUGGGUUAAAGCGUGAGCAGCAGAGUGAUGCUGUUAUUCACUCUAUUGGGAUGUAUUUAUCUGUGGUUUAAUGUAUAUAUAUUAUAUUAUAUUUCCGAGAAUAACUGAGACGGACUUGAUUUGUUUUUUGUAUCAAUUCACAAUAAAAUGAACAUAAUUGCAUCAGAGAGGCUGCUGACAAAUAAAAGAAUUUUCCAAUGGCCUAAAAAAUAAAACACUGC
ensembl:lncRNA